GACGAACGCUGGCGGCGUGCUUAACACAUGCAAGUCGAACGGGCCUUGUCCCCUUUUUUUUGGGGGUGGGGUUAGUGGCGAACGGGUGAGUAACACGUGAGUAACCUGCCCCUCACUUCUGGAUAACCGCUUGAAAGGGUGGCUAAUACGGGGUGUUCUGGCCUGCUCGCAUGGGUGGGUUUGGAAAGAUUCGACCGGUUUUGGUUGUUUUGGUGGGGGAUGGGCUCGCGGCCUAUCAGCUUGUUGGUGGGGUGAUGGCCUGCCAAGGCUUUGACGGGCAGCCGGCCUGAGAGGGUGGGCGGUCACACUGGGACUGAGACACGGCCCAGACUCCUACGGGAGGCAGCAGUGGGGAAUAUUGCACAAUGGGCGCAAGCCUGAUGCAGCGACGCCGCGUGAGGGAUGGAGGCCUUCGGGUUGUGAACCUCUUUCGCCAGUGAAGAAGGUCCUGCUCUUUGUGGUGGGGUUGACGGUAGCUGGGUUAAUGAAGCGCCGGCUAACUACGUG
rnacentral:rRNA from 1 species